rnacentral:rRNA from 1 species
GUAAGGAAUAUUGGACAAUGGACGCAAGUCUGAUCCAGCCAUGCCGCGUGAAGGAUUAAGGUCCUCUGGAUUGUAAACUUCUUUUAUAAGGGACGAAAAAAGGCUUUUCUAAGUCGUCUGACGGUACCUUAUGAAUAAGCACCGGCUAACUCCGUGCCAGCAGCCGCGGUAAUACGGAGGGUGCAAGCGUUAUCUGGAUUCACUGGGUUUAAAGGGUGCGUAGGCGGGCAGGUAAGUCAGUGGUGAAAUCCUAGAGCUUAACUCUAGAACUGCCAGUGAUACUAUCUGUCUUGAAUAUUGUGGAGGUAAGCGGAAUAUGUCAUGUAGCGGUGAAAUGCUUAGAUAUGACAUAGAACACCUAUUGCGAAGGCAGCUUACUACGCAUAUAUUGACGCUGAGGCACGAAAGCGUGGGGAUCAAACAGGAUUAGAUACCCUAGUAGUCC